AUUCCGCCAUGGCCUACAUCUGCCAAUCGAUCACGCACGCCAGAUCCGCCGCCGCGACCCAUCAUACCCCCAGGUGAAAAAACGCCAUGUCCCCCAGCCACCGCGAUCCUUCCCUGCCGCCGGCGUCUCCGAUCAAGAAAGAGCUAUCGCACCUGACGCUACCCGUCGCCCGCCCACAGCCCUCCGCCGCCGUCGCAUCGCCCGUCUCCACACUUCGCCAGCCCGCGGCCGCCGUCGCGCUCCACUCGUCUCCGCCGUGGCCCGUAGUUCCGCCCGUCAACCGCCCACCGUCGCGCUUCGCCCGGCCGUCGCUCCACCCGCCAACCGCCCGCCUUCGCCCGCCGGCGGUGGCGGAGAGCCCGAUCCGGCCGGAGGAGUCACCUCAAUGACGGGUGUGCGGGGCCGCCGGCCGCCAAACUCUCUGCAAUCACCCAUCGGAUCUACAAGAUGACAGAUAUGAUAUGGUUGCUUCUGGAGCUUCGGAUGUUUUUUUUUUCUGUCAGGCACAAAGGAGCAAUAGCUUAUUUCUUGCGUACAGGAUUUGUUGCUCCAUUUAGGGACUCCAUCCCCAUAGUAACUAGCUGAACCUAUAUUUAUUCCUAUUUGUUCUAGCAUUGUCUUAUUGAUGCAAGUUUAAGCGUGUUUUUGUAUCUCCAUUUAAGGACUAUAGCUUUAGAUUUGAUGCUGCUACACUAAAUUAAUGUUCAUCUUUGGAGGAUCUGGAAACUACUCCCUCUGUUCCCUUUUAUAAGACGUUUUGGCAAAUGACUUGCCAAAAGGGCUUAUAAAAAGAAACAGAGGGAUAUAGUGGUGUUGCUGCUCACAAUUCUCUAGUCUCCAUUGAUGAACUAAAACAUUCAUGUAUCCUGGAACUUGUUUGAAUGAAAUAUUUAUUAAGCAUUUCCAGAUCUUCUCAAGAUAUCGAAAACAUGCAUCUUAUGUAGGAUGGAAAUGCCUAUUUCUAUUUAUUUUCCUUACAUUGUUCUGAUACCUAAGCUUUUUAUUUGCUUAGAUUUAUUAUGUCCAUUUUUCUUCCUAGACUUGUGCAAGUGUGGCGAAUUCCUCUUUCUUGAGUGCACGCCGGGAAGGGAGGAAGAAAGACACGGUGGAGAUAGUGAAUCUAGCGUUCUCUGCACACAGAAACAACAUGUCGCUCCCUGUUCUUGCUGUUCCUGCAUCCAUUUUCUUCUUCCUGACAUUGCUGCUGCCAUGUGAAGUUCCAUCAUGUUGUUCGCACCUUUUAUUUUCUUACGUGCUUUCAUCUACAAGAUUACUGUUAUGAUGGUGUUGCUUCAUGUCAUAGCUCGGCAAGGAGAGGGAGAGCAAAAUGAGAACUGGGCGGAGCCAUGAAUCCACCGUGGCGAGAAGAUGUUGCUCAUGAUGCUAGGGUUGCAGUGACGACAAGAGGCUCGCCAUUCCAUUACUUUUCUUUGAAAAGAAAUCUAUAAUGUUACUAAUGACUGUAAUGCUUCUGAUCCGGAAACAAGGAGCUCAAAGUCAGCAUGUCGCCUAUUCAUAUCUACCCAUCCUUUAGUUGAAGUUAGUUAGAUCGUCACCUCUUCCCAGAUGGAUUGCAAAUGGCGACGACCCUUGCGGUGAGUUUGCAGGGUGUUCUGUGUAUCCGCUCAAAUAUAUAUCCUCAUUUAUAUAAAUAAAUAUUUCAGGAUAUGGGACCGCCAAUUAGAAUCAUCAAUUGAUUCAUAUACGAUAAUAUUCUUUAUAAGCCUUACAAGGCGGGUAAACUUGAUGAAGUUUCAAUAUCUAAAUUCAUUUCUUAUGAUAUUAUAACCUAUAAACCUGAUGUCUAUACAGAUGAUAUACUCCUGUUAUUUUUAGAUACAUAUUUAAGUAUGAAUUUCCCAGUGAAAGGAAGUAAGAAAUUAUUAAAAGAAUGGGGGAAAAGGAACAAAGAUAUAGUUUUAAGAUACAGAAUGUAUGUAGAAACAGUUUAUUCACGAAACUCUUUUGUAGGUUUUAAGCCAAUUAUUCUUUAUGGUUCCUUUCUCUUGUAGAGCUUUUAUAUUUUGUGCUUUUUAUCAACUCAUUGUUUAUAGAAAUUUUGUUGCUGUAAUAACUAUGGGAGGACAACUUUGCAGCCAAGAAACUUACCUGAACAACCACAAUGUAAGGCCUUUUUCGUCAAUAUUUUUUUCUCUCACUCUUGGGCUCUUGGCUGAUAGUUCUAUCAUAUCAGAAUGUUCCAUGGGUGAAUUAUUAAUUUCUAGGAGUUCAUGUAUAUAUUGGCAUCAUAUCCUCAUCAAGCUUUAUGAGUAUCUAUUUCUAUUUUUGUUUUAGAAAUAUUAACAAUAACAAAUCAGCAGAACUAUACUAGAUGAUCUGCCUGUUACACCGCAGAAUUUUUUUUUGGCGGGGAAGUUACACCGUGGAAUCUGUAUGUGUUCUUGCUUUGUACAGUUCUUUUGGUUAUUUGUGAUAAAAAUAUAAACAUUUUUGUGCCUUGCUGUGUAGUUUUCUCUAUGAUAACCAACUCACUGUGGUAUCAAUAUCAAAUCCUCGAAGUUUAACAAUCAUGUAAUUUCUUGUUUCCCUACUAAGAAAAUGACUCAUGUUGUACCUGCUCCCUCUAUAAGGAGCAUAAAUAUAGUGUAUCAUUCAAAAUCUGCAUUCUGCCGUUUUCUGUUGUGAGUUCACUUAAUGAUAACCAUUUCAAUGGACAGACUUCCAGAUGCUUUUGAUUUGCUUCUGAUGAUGAUUUAAGUGUGUCCUUGGAUGAUAUGCACUAGUUUUAUGAAUAUUCCAUGGCAAUGAUACACUAUAUAUAUGCUCCUUAUAGAUGUUAUUUUCCCUAAAGAACGGGUCUUCAGCGGCUAGAAGGAACCAUUGGAUGGUAGCAAUGAUGAUAUAGAAUAACUGGAUGGUUAUCCCAUAACCCUACCAAAGACAUGUGAGAAAGUGGUUCCCAACAUUGAAGAAAGCUAAUGGAACUGCCAAUUUGGUAAUGACAACAGGACCAUCAGAAAGCUUUGAUUCUGAUGGAGAGCUCAUUACUCUUUCCAACGAGCGACCUCCAGAAGCAUGGAUAUUGGCUUCGGUAGUUUGUUUUAUGUGACACUUAUCAAAGAUGGCCGUGGUUAUGUCAAUAAGGCAGACGGGUGGCAUGUAUGCCGUACCUCUCGUGUGCAGGUCAUGAAGGGCGAUAAGUGACCGUUGAAGAACCUGAUGGAGAGCGGGUCAUAGCAGCCUUGCGUGGCAUGUAUGCCAUACCUCUCGUUGUUUUCCCCGUACAAUGAUGUUGCGUUGCAACCUCCUCGCUAAGUCGGUGCCCUCCACCCAGAUAGCGGCCACCUCCGAAGCAAUCGGAGUGUCUUAUGUUCGUUGAUCCAGCUUCUUGUCGAUGUUUAGGUUGAUGCGGUACUCCGCGAGGUUGCCCACACAAGUUCCUAGACUCUUAAACGUCUCGGAGUAGGGGUUUCCUCUCAUGAUGUUGGCCACCUUCUUGUCCACAUCUUGGUCCAGUCUCUUGGUAGCUUCUGCGCGAUGGCUUAGACUGGGGUCGUCAUCAUAGAAGGAGAGUUGUAGAUGUUUUGGCUUAGACCCAGGUUCGAAAGAAUGCACAUUAUGGUACACUGUUCCGUGAGCCCGAAAUGUGUACACCCCAGAACUCAUGUUUGUAUAGUUAUUGUCAAGGCUGACGCCGAGGAUCGUGAAGGAGAAGUGAUCGUUGAAGAACCUAAUGCUGUUCCGAAAAUGGCGUGAGUCCGCAUCAGCGCUAGACUAGAGCCUCAUAAGCUCUGGGUCAGGAUCUGGCACCGUGUUGUCGAGCUCUAUCUUUCCUCCCCGACAACAGAAACCGUCGGUCUCGUACUCAAACUUCUUGGUUUUACAGUGGCUGCAGUCGUCGACUUGCUUCAGGCUAUGGGUUCUGUCGGUGAUGUUGGAAUAGACAAAAUCGAAUGGGUCGAUGACAUCGCUCACGGGAGAAUCCCCAGUUGGCUAGUCGAUGUCCAUGUCUUCGAUAUUAGAACCUGCAGGUGUGGAGAUAGAGAUCAAUUUUAUAUGACCAUUUGACACAUUUUAUAGCAUCGGUAACAGCAAGGAUAGGGCGUACAUUCAGCAGCAAAAAUAUAGUACUCAUCAUUCAUCAACUCAUCGGAAGAGGCAUCCUGGCAGGCGUACUUGUCACAUGUAACAUGCAAAAAUAUAGGACAAGACCUUCCUGAAGCGUCUCAUGGAAGCCGAGGAAGGAACACCCUUCUUCGGUGUUACAUGUGACAAGGACGCCUAUCAGGAUGCCUCUUCCGAUGAGUUGAUGGAUGAUGAGUAUUAUAUUUUUGCUGGUGAAUGUACGCCCUAUCCUUGCUGUUCUUGAGGCUAUAAAAUGUGUCAAAUGGUCAUAUAAAAUUGAUCUCUAUCUCCACACCUGCAGGUUCUAAUAUCGAAGACAUGGACAUCGACUGGCGAGCUGGGGAUUCUCCCGUGAGCGAUGUCAUCGACCCAUUCGAUUUUGUCUACUCCAACGUUCCCGACAGAACUCAUAGCCUGAAGCAAGUCGACGAUUGCAGACACUGUAAGGCCAAGAAGUUUGAGUACGAGACCGACGGUUUCUGCUGUCGGGGACAAAAGAUAGAGCUCGUCAAUGCGGUGCUAGAUCCUGACCCGGAGCUUAUGAGGCUUUGGUCUAGCGCUGAUGCGGACUCACGCCAUUUUCGGAACAGCAUUAGGUUCUUCAACAGUCACUUCUCCUUCACGACCCUCGGCGUCAGCCUUGACAACAACUAUACAAACAUGAGUUCUGGGGUGUACAUGUUUCAGGCUCAUGGAACAAUGUACCAUAAUGUGCUUUCUUUUGGGCCUGGGUCGAAGCCAGAACAUCUACAGCUCUACUUCUAUGACGACGACCCUAGUCUAAGCCAUCGCGCAGAAGCUACCAAGAUGUGGUCAAGAAGGUGGCCAACAUCAUGAGAUGAAACCCCUACUCCGAGACGUUUAGGAGUCAAGGAGCUUGUGCGGGCAACCUCGCGGAGUACCGCAUCGACCUAAACACCGACAAGAAGCUGGAUCAACGAACAUACAACACUCAGAUUGCUUCGGAGGUGUCCGCUAUCUGGGUGCAAGGCACGGACUUAGCGAGGAGGUUCCAACCGACGGGCUCGUGUGUGCCAUCGCACGGUAGCCCGUCGUGUAAUAUUUUGAUUUUUGGGGGAGUGCGAGCGAUGUGUUAGGUUCUGCAUAUUGCCCAAGAAGGAAUUCACUAGAUCCCUGAACUACAAGCAGCCCAACCUCUUUCGUCCCAAUCACUCAAAUGUCAAAAUCUACAAAAAAGAAGUAUAAUAAACACGAGGGCAACCAGUCAUCAAUGGUGAAGGAGAUUAUUUUGCUGUCAUGCAUGGUUGCUCUCUGUUAGUGCCUGGUCCAGGAUUGAUGACUCUCCUUGGAUCUUCUAGUAAUGAUGAAGUGCCAGUAUCAAGGUAGAAAGAGGCAUGUCAGAGAGAGGUUUGGAAAUAAUGGGGUUUAUUGUGAUUCAUUCGGCAGCCAGCUGAGAAAUAAAUUGUAUCCUUUAUUGAUCUAUCAAAUACAUUGUUUGUUGACACAAUUGUUACAAAGUUAUUAACUAGAUGUAAUAAAAAAAUGUCAGAUGAUUAAGAUGGUCACAUAGUGAGUCCCUUUAUGAUACGUCACCCUUUGCUUUGUAUCAUGGCUUCAGUUUUGCAGUGCAUAGUCUAUGUUUCUUAUGUGCAUCAUAUUGUAACUGUUUAUAUGUUCACUUGUCAAGUAGAACCCCAUUAGGCUGUCUCUUUCAUGCAUUUCCUUGCACGUCUUGUUAUAUUCAGUAAGUACAUUGCUACUACUUGACUAGUACUUUACUCUGUCUCAUUAAUGAAGCACUUUCUAUAGCAUUUGCAAGUCCAUUUACUCUUUUAUGGGCUGUACCACGCUUGCGCUCCAAGCUAGCUCACCGUAUGGUUGUUUCUGUUGUGUCCUCGAUUUGACAAUCUGCUUAUGCUCUAAGCUAGCUUACUAAGAUGUACAUAGUGAGUUGUCUGUCUUAACCAAAAAAUUCUUGGAUAUGUUAGCUGCAUAAUAGUUGAAGCUUGCCAGAUUGGCAGGGAUGAUUUAAGGCUGAAGCUAAUGAAGAAAGCUGUGUCACAUCUGCGUCAACCCAGAGCUAUACCAACUGGUAAUCAGUUUCUUUAUUGAUUAAAUACUAAUAAAAUGCUUGGAUCUAAGGAUAAUAUUUGCACCCAUUGCUGCAUCAAGAAGACUGCAAGCAAUUGCAAUCAUCUCAUAUUUGAAGGUUCACAAGCGCUUGCAAAGAUAAGCUGGUGCAAAAGCUUAUAAGGGAUGCGUUUGAUCCUGAAACCUGGUAAUUUCAAGGUUUUUCAUUUUUCUGAAUGUUGUCUAGUGAUGAAGUUGUUAGUCUAGGCCCUAUAAAUUUGUUGCAUGUAUUUCUGCGAGAACUGAGAGGUCAAUAGUCUUAAAUGUUAGGCAAUAUCUAUUUUCAUCUUCUCGAUUAAUUGGUUAUAACUUAUAAGAACGUUAAGUAUCCAUUCAGGUAGACCUACGUAGGUUAACUUAAUUGUACUAGCAUAUCUAAUUUUCUGGAAAAGUAAUUCCUUCAUCUUUGUGACUGCACAGUUUAGCAAGCUAUAUCUGACAGUUUACUUUUGCUAAACAUAUUGUUAAGCAAAGUUCUCCUGCACUCCUGAGCAUUUAUGUGUGGUUCAAGUAAAAAAAAUACUCAAAGCUAUAACGGGUUGUAUUAGUAAGCUGGCAAGAAGAAGAACAUGGUUUUAAGGCAAUGCUUAUUUGCAGAAUCUAAUUUCUCUGCGCGCGCAAACUUGUCUUAUGGAGUGCUCACUUCCCACUCCGUCCGAUCUAAUCUAACACAUGAUACAAAACACCAAAUGCCUCUCUUCAGUCCUCGGUACUCCUCACCAAGUGCCCUGGCGGCUGGGAGCACUUCCCCUACAUCUUUUAAGCGUGCUUGUUUUCAGUCCAUCUGGGUUCUGUUUUCGUGCAGUUAUGUGCAUGAUGUAUGAAGAAGGGAGCCAGUGGUUUUCCACUCCAUUACAUUCUGUAACCACAUGUGCCAGUUCAGUUUUAUUCAGAUCGAACUUCUAUUUAAGACGAUCUCGAGUGCUUAGAGGCUUAAUUAGAAAGAAUUGGGCUUUGAAGGCUUGAGAUAAAUCUCUACCCGCAUUGUAGGUCUUCCUUUCAAUUAAGGGAUAAAUAGAUUGUGUUUCUUAUGCUAAAAUUUGUUUUCCUUUCAAUUAAGGGAUAAAUAGAUUGUGUUUCUUGCUAAAAUUUGUUUUCCUUUCAACUAGAAUCAAUGAUAUAUACAAAGCAGAUUUUUUUUCCAUAGCUGCUCUUUAUUUGAGGGUAUUUUGGCAAACUACUUGUAUUAGAAAAAUAAACCAAUAUAUGUACAAUGUCUAGCCAUCUCAUGGUUCUUGUAUCAGUCUAUGAACCAAUGAUAUAUGCAUCCUCCCAAUCUUCGUUUCAUUCAUUGCCAUUUUUGCGAGAAAGUUCCAUUCUAUACUUGCUUAUGGCAUGGCAGGUUUUAGUCAUUAUUACUUUGGUGCUGUCUUUGUAACUAUUCAGAAAAAAACGGCUGCAUUUGAUGGUUCAGUAAAACAAAUCAAAAUUGAGCAAUGGUAUGCUUGAGUGCUAUAUACUGUUCUUGUAUGUUGUGCUUUAAUUUUCUAGCAAUUAACAUCAAUUUUUAUGAACAUUCUUCCUAGUAGGGAAGUAAUUAUGUAUGUGUCUAGAACUAUUGGAAAUAACUUGUAAAAGUCUAGAACCAUUGGAAAUUACUUAUCUCCUUGAAAAAUCUGGAGUAUUUUCUUUUCAUAGCUGUGAACAUGCAUAACAUAACUUAUUUAGGGACGCUUCAUGGCUUGUUGAUUUGUUAUUUAGACUGAAGUUGUUUUUGACCUCUAGAACUAACAAUCUUGAUACUACUGUUUAUGGGCUGGUUUUCAUCACAUCUCUCGGUGGCUUGUUUGUUCCUUUGGAUGCAUAUAUGUUUCAUAUGAGGUGUAAUUUUUGUGAUGUGUAGAAGUUAGUUUUUUGCUAACAUGUCUGAAACUUUGUUGAUGAUCUGUGUAUAUGUAGUCCUUAGUUCAAUUUUUAUGUACCGCUUCUUGCUCACAGGGAUGUGAUUUUCCACAGUUUCAAGGUGUGAGUUUUCCCGUACAUAUUAUUACUGACGCACCUAUAUUAUCUGAUGAAUGAGCUCGGGGAAGAAUGACGCGGUAGUGUCCCCUGGGUGCGAAGUUCUGAGGACUGCUAGAAGUUGAUGCAUGGGUGAAUAAAUUGCAAAUGAGGGUCAAUAAUAUGUUCUUUUUCCCUCUUUGAAAGAUGUAACUUUGUAUGCUAAAUCGCAUCUAAUAUAUGUUGAAUUACUCUGGACAAAAAAAAAAUACUUCCAUCAAUUUAACUGCUAGAGUUGCAUAUGCCAUCAACACUCGUGCUCUUUAAUUUUGAAUUACAUUAGACGCACUUUGGAUGUAACUACGAACUGUAAUGGAUAUGCCUAUAAAGUAUCUACAUUUUGCACGCACAA